rnacentral:rRNA from 1 species
AAAGCAAGCUAACGCUUGAAUACAUUAGCAUGGAAUAAUGAAAUAGGACGUUCGAUCCUAUUUUGUUGGUUUCUAGGAUUGACGUAAUGAUUAAUAGGGAUAGUUGGGGGCAUUAGUAUUCAAUUGUCAGAGGUGAAAUUCUUGGAUUUAUUGAAGACUAACUACUGCGAAAGCAUUUGCCAAGGAUGUUUUCAUUGAUCAAGAACGAAAGUUAGGGGGAUCGAAGACGAUCAGAUACCGUCGUAGUCUUAACCAUAAACUAUGCCGACUAGGGAUCGGAUGAUGUUAAUUUUUUAAUGACUCAUUUGGUGCCUUACG